rnacentral:rRNA from 1 species
CCCUUAGAUGUUCUGGGCGGCCCGCGCACUACAUUGGCACUGUCAGCAAGGGUCUGAAACUAAAACUUUUGGGUAUUCUGAGAACCGGUGUCGUGACUGGGAUUGACCCUUGCAAUUAUUGGUUAUGAACGAGGAAUUCCUUGUAAUCGCGGUUUAUCAGCCCGCGUUGAAUGCGUCUCUGCCCUUUGUACACACCGCCCGUCGCUCCUACCGAUGAAUCGUCCGGUGAAGUUCAUGGAGUAGUGGUUGUUCCAUCCGCUGUCGAAGUGAAAUAAACCUCAUGAUUUAGAGGAAGGAGAAGUCGUAACA